rnacentral:rRNA from 1 species
AGAGUUUGAUCCUGGCUCAGGAUAAACGUUGGCGGUGUGCUUUAUGCAUGCAAGUCGUACGGGGUUAUAGUUUUCGAAUUAUAAUCUAGUGGCGAAUGGCUGAGUAAUACAUAGGUAACCUGCCUGUGAGUGGUGGAUAACUUGCUGAAAAGCAAGCUAAUACAGCAUACGAUGAGCAAGUAUUUCUUGUUUAUUAAAGUCUUCGGGCGCUCGCAGAGGGGCCUAUGCCUGAUUAGCUAGUUGGUGAGGUAACGGCUCACCAAGGCGAUGAUCAGUAGCUGGUCUGAGAGGAUGGUCAGCCAGAUGGGGACUGAGAUACGGCCCCAACUCUUACGGGAGGCAGCAGCAAGGAAUAUUGGGCAAUGGGCGAAAGCCUGACCCAGCGACACCGCGUGAGGGAUUAAGGCCUUCGGGUUGUAAACCUCUUUUCUCGAGGAAGAAGUUCUGACGGUACUCGAGGAAUAAGCCACGGCUAACUACGUGCCAGCAGCCCGCGGUAAUACGUAGGUGGCGAACGUUAUCCGGAUUUAUUGGGCGUAAAGAGAGUGUAGGCGGCUUGUUAAGUCGAGUGUUAAAUCUUCUGACUCAAUCAGGAGCUGCAUUCGAUACUGGUAGGCUUGAGGGCAGCAGAGGAAAACGGAAUUCCCAGUGUAGCGGUGAAAUGCGUUGAUAUUGGGAAGAACACCAGAGGCGAAGGCGGUUUUCCAGGCUGUAUCUGACGCUGAGACUCGAAAGCGUGGGGAGCGAAGCGGAUUAGAUACCCGCGUAGUCC